UGGGGAAUAUUGCACAAUGGGGGAAACCCUGAUGCAGCGACGCCGCGUGAGCGAAGAAGGUUUUCGAAUCGUAAAGCUCUGUCCUAUGGGAAGAUAAUGACGGUACCAUAGGAGGAAGCCCCGGCUAACUACGUGCCAGCAGCCGCGGUAAUACGUAGGGGGCAAGCGUUGUCCGGAAUCACUGGGCGUAAAGGGUUCGCAGGCGGAAAUGCAAGUCAGUUGUGAAAGGCAGAGGCUCAACCUCUGUAAGCAAUUGAAACUGUAUUUCUUGAGAUGUGGAGAGGCAAGUGGAAUUCCUAGUGUAGCGGUGAAAUGCGUAGAUAUUAGGAAGAAUACCGGUGGCGAAGGCGACUUGCUGGGCACAAACUGACGCUGAGGAACGAAAGCGUGGGUAGCAAACAGG
rnacentral:rRNA from 1 species